GUCCAAAGACAUGCAGUCAGGCCUAUUGGACAUGGUAAAUUGCCCCUGGGUGUGAGUGAAUGUGUCUGUGAUGGACUGGCGACCUGUCCAGGGUGUAUCCUGCCUUCUGCCUGAUGACCUCUGGCAUCACCAGACCAGAUGACCACCCCCUGCGACCCUGAAGGAGAAGCGGCUUAGAAGGGUGUAUCCUGCCUUCCGCCCGAUGACUGCUGAGAUAGGCUCCAGCACCCCCCGCGACACUCACGGAGAAGUGGAAAAUGGAUGGAUGGAUGGAUGGAUGGAUGGAUAAAUAUACAUGUCCAGUUUUGUUGUUUCCCAGUUUUUGACAUAAAUUGAAAAUGUCUGUUGUUCUUUACAUUGUGUGUAAAUUUCAUGAUGGUUGGACCAAAAGAAACGACCCAAAAUUGCUUGGAAAAAAAUCUGGUUCCAUUGACUUCCAUUAAAAGUAAAGUAGGUAUUUUCCUUCUUCUGUAAAGUUCCCAUUUUGGAUGUCAGCGGUCUGCAUUCUGGAAGCAGCUUGCUUAUUGGCUCCCUGACACUGAUAAGACUGAAUACUCAUGUACUGAAACCUGGUACUGGUGUCUGCUGUGUCGAUACUCAUUAUUAUUGAAGUAAUCUGAUUGGUACCUCAAAAAUUACUGACUUUCCUGACCCAGCCUUAGGUGUGCCCACUGUCCAGGCAGCGUCCAUCUACUGAUCUCUUCUUGAACAGCUGCUGGAACGCAGUUCUCUGGAUCGUGUUGUUCUGAUUGGCUGGUUUAAAGUCCUGCUGUAGCCUUUAAGCUGUGAUUGGUUAGUUAGUAAUUCUGCCUCUUUUUGGCAUCACUGGUCAGAUAAACAGCCCUCGCCUGACCUUGGAGCGCCUGAAAGAUGGGCUUAGACUUAGCCUUUUCUUUCCGUUUCUAUGGCAACGGGAAUCUUUUUUUUUUUGUCAGGAGGAGCCGAAUUUCCUUUGGAUCGCACUAAAACAGCAGUGGUCGUCUUUUUAUUGGAUUUUUAUGUGUUGCUUUUUCGCUGCAAAGUCACUUUGUCCUUUGGCCAGGAGCCCUUAGCGUGUGGGCCGGACUUAAUGUCCAUUAGUAACUGGACGCCAGCAGGUCAGGAUGUGGUGUAUCAAUCUGAAGGGGAACGUCUGUUUCCAAACUGAACGUGUCUCAGUGUCUCACACUCACUGACUCAAAUAAAUCACUUUAUUUUGGUAUUACAAA